rnacentral:misc_RNA from 1 species
UUUCCGUAGGUGAACCUGCGGAAGGAUCAUUAAUGAGUUGUCAUGGGGUUCGAUGCUGGCAGCCAGUUUUUGGAUGCAUGUGCUUGCCCUAACAAUCAUCUUCUUCCAAACACCUGUGCACAUUUUUGAGGGAGUCUUGAGUUGGUUGCCGCUCUUGGGUGAUUUUCUCACAUUCCCUUAAAUCAUUAUACGCUAUUAACAAUGUUGAACGUGCUCUGUGCCGCAAGGCCAUUAAUAUAAUACAACUUUUAACAACGGAUCUCUUGUCUCUCACAUCGAUGAAGAACGCAGC